rnacentral:snoRNA from 1 species
GGCCCACAUUGGAGUUGUGUCUCGGCCCACCCCUCGUGGCCCUGUCUGCACACUCACGUGGGCCAAGAG